rnacentral:rRNA from 1 species
UACGAAGGGGGCUAGCGUUGUUCGGAAUUACUGGGCGUAAAGGGCUCGUAGGCGGCCAACUAAGUCAUACGUGAAAUCCCUCGGCUUAACCGGGGAACUGCGUCUGAUACUGGAUGGCUUGAGUUCGGGAGAGGGAUGCGGAAUUCCAGGUGUAGCGGUGAAAUGCGUAGAUAUCUGGAGGAACACCGGUGGCGAAGGCGGCAUCCUGGACCGAUACUGACGCUGAGGAGCGAAAGCCGGGGGAGCAAACGGG